UUAAAUUGAAGAGUUUGAUCAUGGCUCAGAUUGAACGCUGGCGGCAGGCCUAACACAUGCAAGUCGAACGGUAACAGGAAGCAGCUUGCUGCUUUGCUGACGAGUGGCGGACGGGUGAGUAAUGUCUGGGAAACUGCCUGAUGGAGGGGGAUAACUACUGGAAACGGUGGCUAAUACCGCAUAACGUCGCAAGACCAAAGAGGGGGACCUUCGGGCCUCUUGCCAUCAGAUGUGCCCAGAUGGGAUUAGCUUGUUGGUGAGGUAACGGCUCACCAAGGCGACGAUCCCUAGCUGGUCUGAGAGGAUGACCAGCCACACUGGAACUGAGACACGGUCCAGACUCCUACGGGAGGCAGCAGUGGGGAAUAUUGCACAAUGGGCGCAAGCCUGAUGCAGCCAUGCCGCGUGUAUGAAGAAGGCCUUCGGGUUGUAAAGUACUUUCAGCGGGGAGGAAGGUGUUGUGGUUAAUAACCACAGCAAUUGACGUUACCCGCAGAAGAAGCACCGGCUAACUCCGUGCCAGCAGCCGCGGUAAUACGGAGGGUGCAAGCGUUAAUCGGAAUUACUGGGCGUAAAGCGCACGCAGGCGGUCUGUCAAGUCGGAUGUGAAAUCCCCGGGCUCAACCUGGGAACUGCAUUCGAAACUGGCAGGCUUGAGUCUUGUAGAGGGGGGUAGAAUUCCAGGUGUAGCGGUGAAAUGCGUAGAGAUCUGGAGGAAUACCGGUGGCGAAGGCGGCCCCCUGGACAAAGACUGACGCUCAGGUGCGAAAGCGUGGGGAGCAAACAGGAUUAGAUACCCUGGUAGUCCACGCCGUAAACGAUGUCUACUUGGAGGUUGUGCCCUUGAGGCGUGGCUUCCGGAGCUAACGCGUUAAGUAGACCGCCUGGGGAGUACGGCCGCAAGGUUAAAACUCAAAUGAAUUGACGGGGGCCCGCACAAGCGGUGGAGCAUGUGGUUUAAUUCGAUGCAACGCGAAGAACCUUACCUGGUCUUGACAUCCACGGAAGUUUUCAGAGAUGAGAAUGUGCCUUCGGGAACCGUGAGACAGGUGCUGCAUGGCUGUCGUCAGCUCGUGUUGUGAAAUGUUGGGUUAAGUCCCGCAACGAGCGCAACCCUUAUCCUUUGUUGCCAGCGAUUAGGUCGGGAACUCAAAGGAGACUGCCAGUGAUAAACUGGAGGAAGGUGGGGAUGACGUCAAGUCAUCAUGGCCCUUACGACCAGGGCUACACACGUGCUACAAUGGCGCAUACAAAGAGAAGCGACCUCGCGAGAGCAAGCGGACCUCAUAAAGUGCGUCGUAGUCCGGAUUGGAGUCUGCAACUCGACUCCAUGAAGUCGGAAUCGCUAGUAAUCGUGGAUCAGAAUGCCACGGUGAAUACGUUCCCGGGCCUUGUACACACCGCCCGUCACACCAUGGGAGUGGGUUGCAAAAGAAGUAGGUAGCUUAACCUUCGGGAGGGCGCUUACCACUUUGUGAUUCAUGACUGGGGUGAAGUCGUAACAAGGUAACCGUAGGGGAACCUGCGGUUGGAUCACCUCCUUACCU
rnacentral:rRNA from 1 species